rnacentral:rRNA from 1 species
ACUAAAUAACCUUAAGUAGUAUCUUAAAGAGAAACUUACGUAAAUUGGCGGUUAGGUUUGUUUAGAGGAACUCGCUUCAUAAUCGUCAAUACCCGUUAAUUUUCACUCUUAAUCAUAAGUUUAUAUACCGCCGUUAUAGGUACAAUAACAAUUACUGUAUCCACAAUAUGCUUAUAAAAAAUCAGGUCAAGGUGUAGCUAUAUUUAAGAGAGUAAGUAAGUUACAAUAAAUAAAAUYUAAGGAACGAAAUUAAAAUAUUUAGGGAAAAAGAAUYUAUAAGCACGAAAGGAUUAACAUUCCUCUCUGAAAUACAACUCCUAACGU